GAAAUGCGAUAAGUAGUGUGAAUUGCAGAAUUCAGUGAAUCAUCGAAUCUUUGAACGCACAUUGCGCCCCUUGGUAUUCCAUGGGGCAUGCUUGUUCGAGCGUCAUUUGUACCCUCAAGCUUUGCUUGGUGUUGGGCGGUUGUCCUUUCUUUGCGUUGGGACUCGCCUCAAAGUCAUUGGCAGCCAGUGUAUUGGUUUGAAGCGCAGCACAUGUCGCGCAAACGAGUGCCUUGGUACGGCGGCGUCCAUAAGCCCCUCUCUCACGCUCUUGACCUCGGAUCAGGUAGGGAUACCCGCUGAACUUAAGC
rnacentral:misc_RNA from 1 species